rnacentral:ncRNA from 1 species
UUAAAGACUGAUGAGGACUAUUAGGUUUAGUGAGCUGUUCAGAAAGCGGAUGGUUGUUGUGAAUUCGCCAGUUUAUUAACCGAACUCGUCUCGGAGUUAUUUCAACUGAACUGAAGUAAGUUGAAACGUGAUUUUCACGUUACGAAAUAUUGAGCGCCCGUGCAAUCGGGAAUGUUAGGUGGUACCGCGGAAAUUCCGUCCUACAA